rnacentral:rRNA from 1 species
CCUACGGGUGGCAGCAGUAGGGAAUCUUUCACAAUGGGCGAAAGCCUGAUGGAGCAACGCCGCGUGCAGGAUGAAGGCCUUCGGGUUGUAAACUGCUUUUAUAAGCGAGAAAUAUGAUGGUAACUUAUGAAUAAGGAUCGGCUAACUACGUGCCAGCAGCCGCGGUCAUACGUAGGAUCCGAGCAUUAUCCGGAGUGACUGGGUGUAAAGAGUUGCGUAGGUGGCAUAAUAAGUAGCUAGUGAAAUCUGGUGGCUCAACCAUUCAGACUAUUAGCUAAACUGUUAAGCUCGAGACCGUUAGGGGUAACUGGAAUUUCUAGUGUAGGAGUGAAAUGCGUAGAUAUUAGAAGGAACACCAAUAGCGAAGGCAGGUUACUGGGACGGUUCUGACACUAAGGCACGAAAGCGUAGGGAGCAAACGGGAUUAGAUACCCCAGUAGUC